UACGGAGGGGGCUAGCGUUGUUCGGAAUUACUGGGCGUAAAGCGCACGUAGGCGGCUUUGUAAGUUAGAGGUGAAAGCCCGGGGCUCAACUCCGGAAUUGCCUUUAAGACUGCAUCGCUAGAAUUGUGGAGAGGUAAGUGGAAUUCCGAGUGUAGAGGUGAAAUUCGUAGAUAUUCGGAAGAACACUAGUGGCGAAGGCGACUUACUGGACACAUAUUGACGCUGAGGUGCGAAAGCGUGGGGAGCAAACAGG
rnacentral:rRNA from 1 species